rnacentral:rRNA from 1 species
CCUACGGGAGGCAGCAGUAGGGAAUAUUGCUCAAUGGGGGAAACCCUGAAGCAGCAACGCCGCGUGGAGGAUGAAGGUUUUCGGAUUGUAAACUCCUUUUGUUAGAGAAGAUAAUGACGGUAUCUAACGAAUAAGCACCGGCUAAUUCCGUGCCAGCAGCCGCGGUAAUACGGAGGGUGCAAGCGUUACUCGGAAUCACUGGGCGUAAAGAGCGCGUAGGCGGGAUAGCAAGUCAGAUGUGAAAUCCUCUGGGUUAACCAUAGAACUGCAUUGGAAACUGUUAUUCUGGAGUAUGGGGGGGGGGGGGGGGGGGGGGGGGGUAGGGGUAAAAUCCGUAGAGAUCAAGAGGAAUACUCAUUGCGAAGGCGACCUGCUAGAACAUAACUGACGCUGAUGCGCGAAAGCGUGGGGAGCAAACAGGAUUAGAUACCCGAGUAGUC